rnacentral:lncRNA from 10 species
GGUUGGGCAAGGACGACACUCCGGGCCCUACCGGCGGAAGCUCUGCUCCUGUCGUGCGUGGACCACGCAGCAAAUGGCCUUGGAGGCUGCUGGCAGCCAUCUUGUGACCAUGAGGCAAGUCAGCGCAGGCCGAAGCUGACGACGCGAAGACAAUGAGGAGAGGGAGAAAGAGCCGAUCUUUGGCAUCUAAGCCGGGCACAUUGGCCCAAGCCUGUAAUCCCAGCACUUUGGGAGGCCGAGGCAGGCGGAUCACUUAAGCUCAGGAGUUCGAAACCAGCCUGGCCAAGAUGGUGAAACCCCAUCUCUACUAAAAAUACAAAAGAUUAGCCGGCUGUGAUGACGCGCACCUGUAAUCUCAGCUACUCGGGAGGCUGAGGCACGAGAAUCGCUUGCACCCAGGAGGUGGAGGCUGCAGUGAGCCGAGAUCACGCCAGGGCACUCCGGCCUGGGCGACAGAGUGAGACUUCGUCUCAAGAAAAACCAAAAAUCCAAAAGAACUACAGGCAUCGGCUGUGUCCCCACUAGGAAGCCGGAGGGGAGCAGGGCUGGGUGUGUCUUCUCUGGCUGCGUCCCUGCGGCCACAAGGCCUGUUCUUCCUCUGUGCCCCGCCUGCCAAGGACCCAGCCUUGUGAAGGAUGGAUGAAUGAAUCAUUGAGCAAAUGAAUGAGUGUGUGAACAGGGAGAGUCUGCAGCAGGGAGACCCCGGCAGCUUCGAGUAUGGAGGGGAGACUCUGGCCGCCUGAGGCACCCGGAAAGGCAGCUCUGUCCCUGCUGAGUCACGCGCACCAUCCUGCAGACGGGAGGGCAUCUUCCUAGGCUUUCCUCCAGCCAAGAGUGGAGCUGGGACCUGGGAACCUCCCUGGAACCACCCCUGCUCUCCGGCAAGGCGUUCCACCAGCCUGUGUCUACACACGUAGCCCCGCAGAGCAGGCUUCGUGAUGCCUGGAGACACCCACUUCCCCUUCCUUCUCCUGGGACUUCUCAGUCACACGGGCUGAGCUGCAGAGGAGCUGGCUGCCAGGUGCUGAGCCGCCCCAAGAAAAAGCCCUCGUGGCAAGAAACUGAGGCCUCCAGCCAGCAGUCAGGGACCCGAGGCCUGAGACGGUGGAGGGUGAGCUUGCAAAGGGACCCCACAGUCGGGCCUUGAGAGGCCCACGGGCCUGGCCCACACCUCGGCUGCAGCCUUGUGAAGGUCCCUGAGCAGGGGACCCAGACUUCUGUCCUACAGAAACUUGGAGAUAAUAAAUGCCUGCUCUUCUACGGCACUGAGUGUCGGGUGAUUUGUUACGGGCAGUAGACAGCUAAUACCUGCCCCUUAGGACACCAAGUCCUCGCCUCCUGGAGGCCCAAGCCCCAGGGAGCCAUGCCUGACUUGCCGCCUGUCGAUGGGCCACGCGUUCCUUGUUGAUGCCAUUCUGGGGUCCCCUCACCCUGACAUACUAGGAGCCAGUUCCGAGGGAGGCUCUUCUGCCACCAACCCUGGCCCAGGGGGACACUGAGCUCCUUGAUGCUGAGGGCCGGUGGUUCCUUAUCGCCUGGCGACCAGCGUGUCCUCCGGGUCCUUUUCCAAUACCAGCACCUCCCAGCUCAAAAACACAACCCAGCACUCCUGUUCCUCCGUCUCCCGGCCCUCCCUCGACACUGGGCCGAGGCAGCCUGUGCACCUGCCCCAAGCUCCCAGGAGCUGACCCAGCAGCGGAUUCGGCCUGGUUCCCGGCAUCCUUACCGGGAUUUGGAAAAUGCUCCUUUCAAUCAAUAAAGGCCCCACGCGGGCCUUCUUCCGCCCUCCCCUCCAGCAUCCUCCAUCUCCAUUUCCACCCGUCCUCCCCGUCCUGCCAGGCCGCAGCUCCUUGCAGAAUAACCCACACCCUCCAGUCGCAGGGACAGAACACCCUAGUUACUGGCCUAGAAUUUUGCGGGGGACGAGGACAGGCAGACCCUAAGGAGGACACUCGCCUCAGGUGAGACCUUUGCAAGGUCCCGGCAGUGGGAGCCACUCCCGCCACUGCGGAGGGAACAGAGGGCAGGGAUCUAAGAGGCUUCUACCCAAAUACCGCAUCCAGGUCAUAGCGUCCCACCCCCCGCUGCCACCGGGGCCCUGACUUCAACACGGGAGGCAGACCAGACGCCACCGCCCUGGGAUCAGAGCUUGGGCCCGAGGGUUGGCCCCGUCUGCACUCUGGCUUUCGGAAUGAGGCUCGCUGUCAAUGCUGUGGUGGAGCUGCAUUCGUUUCCGGGGCUUCUAUAACAAGGUGCCAUAGAACAGGGCUCCAACAGCAGCCCAUUCUCCCACUGUCCUGGAGGCUGGAAGUUCGAGACCAAGGUGCCUGCAGAGUUGGUUCCUCCUGAGGCCUUUCUCCCUGGCUUGUAGAUGGCCCUCUUCUCCUGACUCCUCACACAGAGUCAUCCCUCUGUGUGUAUCUGUGUCCUAGUCUCUCUUCUUUUUCUUUUCGCUUCUUCUUUUUUUUUUUUUGAAGACAGGGUCUCUCUCUCUCUGUCACCCAGGCUGGAGUGCAGUGGUGUUAUCAUAGCUCACUGCAGCCUAGACCUCCCAGGCUCAGGUGAUGCUCCUACCUCAGCCUCCCAAGUAGCUGGGACCACAGACAUGUGUCACCACACCCGACUAAUUUUUUAUAUUUUGUUGUAGAGAUGGGGUCUCACUAUGUUGCCCAGGCUCAACUGGCUUUAAGCCAUCCUCCCACCUCGACCUUCCAAAGUGUUGGGAUUACAGGUGUGAGCCACUGAGCCUGGCCCUUAUCUCUUUUUCUCAGGACACGACUCAGGCCGGGCGUGGUGGCUCAUGCCUAUAAUCCCAGCACAUUGGGAGGCCAAGACGGGCGGAUCACCUGAGGUCAGGAGUUCCAGACCAGCCUGGUCAGCAUGGUGAAACCCCGUCUCUACUAAAAAUAUAAAAAUUAGCCAGGUGUGGUGGCCAGCGCCUGUAAUCCCAGCUACUCGGGAGGCUGAGGCAGGAGAAUCGCUUGAACCCAGGAGGCGGAGGUUGCAGUGAGCCAAGAUCGCACCAUUGCACUCUAGCCUGGGUGACAGAGUGGGACUCCGUCUCAAAAAAUAAAAAAAGUGGGGGAUGGGGGUGGGGGUGGGGGUGGGCCAGGCGCGGUGGCUCACGCCUGUAAUCCCAUCACUUUGGGAGGCCGAGACGGGUGGAUCACCUGAGGUCAGAAGUUCGAGACCAGCCUGACCAACAUGGGGAAACUUCAUCUCUACUAAAAAAUACAAAAAUUAGCCGGGUGUGGUGGUGGGUGCCUGUAAUCCCAGGUGCUCAGGAGGCGAAGCAGAAGAAUCACUUGAACCCAAGAGGUGGAGGUUGCAGUGAGCCAAGCUCGUGACACUGCACUCCAGACUGGGUGACAGAGCAAGACUUCAUUUCAAAGGAAAAAAAAAACAAGGCCAGCGGUCAUGUGGGAACAGGACUCGCUGUAAUCCCCUCUUUAAAGGCCAUAUCUGUAAAUACAG